rnacentral:rRNA from 1 species
GAUGUUCCAGUUGAUCGCAUGGUCUUCUGGGAAAGCUUUCGCGGUAUGGGAUGGGGUCGCGUCCUAUCAGCUUGACGGCGGGGUAACGGCCCACCGUGGCUUCGACGGGUAGCCGGCCUGAGAGGGCGACCGGCCACAUUGGGACUGAGAUACGGCCCAGACUCCUACGGGAGGCAGCAGUGGGGAAUAUUGCACAAUGGGCGCAAGCCUGAUGCAGCGACGCCGCGUGAGGGAUGGAGGCCUUCGGGUUGUAAACCUCUUUUAUCGGGGAGCAAGCGUGAGUGAGUUUACCCGUUGAAUAAGCACCGGCUAACUACGUGCCAGCAGCCGCGGUAAUACGUAGGGUGCAAGCGUUAUCCGGAAUUAUUGGGCGUAAAGGGCUCGUAGGCGGUUCGUCGCGUCCGGUGUGAAAGUCCAUCGCUUAACGGUGGAUCCGCGCCGGGUACGGGCGGGCUUGAGUGCGGUAGGGGAGACUGGAAUUCCCGGUGUAACGGUGGAAUGUGUAGAUAUCGGGAAGAACACCAAUGGCGAAGGCAGGUCUCUGGGCCGUUACUGACGCUGAGGAGCGAAAGCGUGGGGAGCGAACAGGAUUAGAUACCCUGGUAGUCCACGCCGUAAACGGUGGAUGCUGGAUGUGGGGCCCGUUCCACGGGUUCCGUGUCGGAGCUAACGCGUUAAGCAUCCCGCCUGGGGAGUACGGCCGCAAGGCUAAAACUCAAAGAAAUUGACGGGGGCCCGCACAAGCGGCGGAGCAUGCGGAUUAAUUCGAUGCAACGCGAAGAACCUUACCUGGGCUUGACAUGUUUCCCGACGAUCCCAGAGAUGGGGUUUCC